rnacentral:lncRNA from 1 species
UAGGAGUUCCCACCGUGGCACAGCAGAAACGAAUCUGACUAUGAACCAUGAGGUUGCAGGUUCAAUCCCUGGCCUUGCUCAGUGGGUUAAGGAUCCAGUGUUGCCGUGAGUGGUGUAGGUCAUAGACAUGACUUGGAUCUGGCGUUGCUGUGGCUGUACUGUAGGCUGGUGGCUACAGCCCCAAUUUGAUCCCUAGCCUGGGAACUUCCAUAUGCUGUGGGUGCUGCCUUAAAAAAGACCAAAAAAGAAAAAAAAAAAAAAAAAAAAGAAUGGGACGCAAAAGUGCUUGGUGAUUCCAAGCAGCUCAGAGAAGCUACCAGUUUUGGUUUUGGAAACUUGGAGGGGCAGGUAGGAGAAACAGCAACCAUCACCUUCCCCCAGAUCCAAGGAACCUGACCAAAUGGAUCCGAAAGAGGGAUGAUAACUAGGCUUCCUGGCAAGGGCAUUAAUACGGGUGAAGAUAAAGAUAAUUGAGUGAAGCAAGAUGGCAUCAUUACCACCACUCUUAUCAGACCUAACCGAGGUGUUGACAUGGUGUUCCUACGUGGCUUGUAUAGCCUCAACUUUAUUACUGUAAAAACGCGGUGUUCCUGUUACUUAAAAGAGCCCUAAAGCAAAUGCAUGUUAACUGACAGGCUUGGCUGGAGUUGGGCAGUGAAGGGGCUUGGAGCAAAUAGAAGAAAGUUUCCCAAGGUGCCUGAUGAAAGAAACCUCCAUUUGGUGGGGCAUGCCCUUGGAAUGCCCUUUUAUUAAGUGCCCUGUAGACUCAGUAACAUCCACUAGAAGUCUCAGGUGUAGCCCAGAACAAAGAAACGCAAGAGAGAAGAAACACAAAAGGGAAAACAAAGAAACAAAAUCGAAUCGGAUCUGAUGGAGCGGAAUAGUGAACCAGCCAGUGAGGGAGGCCGCAGGUCGCCCAGCUGUGGGAAACUGUCCCUGAGGGCGCCACCUGCCACAUCCGAGACCUGCCCGGUCCACCUGCACCUGGAGCCCCCAGGUGUGCGCACGCUAACUGGCUUGACCUCUCCUGCGCAUGCUCGGUCUCUUAAUCGCCCGCAGAGUAGGGAAAAUAUUGCCAAGCCAAAGACAGAUGCCAACGUUCAGAGGAGAAACCCAGGAAGAGAGGCGAGUUUGAUCCUUGACGGAGGAUUAUGUGGCUGUGGCUGCUCCUCUGGCUGGCAGCCCCUUUGAAUACCUUAAUUACAGCCCUCGCAUCCUCACCCCUGGCACUUCCUGGCUUCACAGCCGGCUGCAGUCCUAGGAUUCUCCUGCGGAGCAGUAGAAAGUCCAGGAGGCAGCCCAGCUCCUGGGGAGCAGCGGCCAAACGUGCCCAGGUAAGGCCCGGGCACGGGGAGCUCGGAUGGGUAGGAGGGGCCAGCCUCCCUCCGUUCCUGCCUCAGUGGGCAAGUGUGUUUGUUUCCAACUGAGACUGAGAAGUGGGAGCUUUGGGUGUCUUCGGAGAGUUAAAAACCUAGCGUGCCGAGCACAGAGGGGCUGACUUGUUCUUUCCUGCUCUGGGCGCUUCCCCUGCCUCCCUCUUGUGUGUCUCUGCCUUUCCUCAGUUCCAUCCUUCCCCGCCCGCCACCACCACCCCUCUUCCUGCUUCCCGCUCCCCCGGUGGGUGCCUGGAGCUGGUUCUUCUCGAGCUGCUUCUUCCAGGCGCCCAAUGAGCUGCGCCGCCAGCCGCCGCCGCCACCGUAGUAACAGCUGUGCUCGCUGGGUUCCCAGGCUGCCGCCCCAGGGUCUCUUAAAGGCGCCCUUCCUUCUUCCAGCUUUUCCCUCUCCUCCAGCUCCCUCGCCUUUCUCUGCGCCCUCCCCAGCCAUGGGUAGCAUGUGCAGGCAGGGAAACCCGGCCUGCUUGGGAAUGAGGAAGAGAUCCCAGGAGGAGGACAUGAAGGACCCACUUCCUGGACAUACUAAACAGAACGUGGUCAUGGACUUGUCCUUCCUGAUGACUCAGGUGGACAGUGUUGUUUCGGAUGAGACGGGGCUGGGGGACGUUCAUGGGCUGACUGUGCUUUGGUGCAGCAUGGUUUGGUCCCCAACCUGGCUGAUUCAGAAACUUGUUCCUUUUGGUUCGUUGGGAACAGUCACACAUCGUGAAGGAGGGUCACAACUCUUAACAUCAGCGUUGAAUAAGGACAAAACCAAGUACCAAUGUGUUCAUCACUAGAGGGGAUAAACCUUUUGUGCCAGAGCCUGGAGAGAGGCUCACCAACCCUGGUGCUUCUUCCUGGGCACAGAGGGAGUAGGUUACCCAGCCUCCUGCUGUUAGGCGGAGCCCUGGGGUUGAGUUCCAGACAAUGGAAUGUGGGCAGAAGUGAUACAGGCCACUUCGAGAUCUGGCCAUUAAAGGCCCCAAAGCACUGGACGUGAAGGACUCUGCAGUGAAGGAAGGAUCUGGGAUCUUGAUUGGUCACAUGGGAAAGAGCCACCAUGAGUGAUGCCUGACUCACACUGGACUGUGACAUGGGCAAGAAGUUCACUUAGAGUGUUGAGACACUGAGCUUUAGAGAUGGUUUACUUCCCAUCGCUCCAAAAAACUCCCUUCCCCAUCCCAAGGCACAUGAGAAACCCCAUCCUCAGAGGCUUGCGUGGUGAGCAUGACAUAGAGCAGAGGCCUCAGAGGUCGCUUAUUUAGGCAGCCCUGCCACCUGAGCAUUUCUGCCUUCACUUAGGAGGGACUGGAAGGGAACUGACGCAGGUAAGGUGCAGGAGACAUUAAGCGAAUCAUUCUCCAGGCAUAGGACACUUGCCAGUCACCUGUUCACCUUUUGAUUUAGGAGUAGGGAGGAGAGUAUUGUAAAAAUCAAGAAGUAGUAUUGAAUGCGAAGAGUAGAAGUGUGGGGUGAGGCUGGAAGUGCUCAGAUUUAAGGUGCCAGGCAGUGUCAUGCCAAGGCAGAAGACUCUGGGCUGGCCAGGAGGGAGCUGGCCAAAAUGAUGAGUCAGGUUGGCAUGAGUUAAUUUCCAGGCACACAUAUCUGCCACCUGAUAACACCUCUCCUGGGUUGUCUUCCACUCGGAGGCCUUCCAAAUGUCGCAGGUCCCAACUGUCUCUCCCUAUGUUCACCUCCUCUCCAUAAACAUCUCUUCCAGUCUCCCAUAUUCUCAAGCCAGAAACCAUAGAGUCAGUCUCAACUCCCCCCUUCCUCCCCUGCCCACCUCCAAUCCUUUGGCAAGUUCUGUCUGCUCUUCCUUCUAAAUAUACCGAGAAGUCAGCUACCUCUUGCCAUCUGGCUGCUGCCACACUAGGCCAAGCUGCCAUCAUCUCUUGCCUACCUUAUGGCAAAGGCCUCCUGGCUGGUCUCUCUGCUCCAUCCUAGCACCUCCUACUGCCUGUUCUUCCCACUGCAGUCAUAUUAUUUUUAUUUAAAAAAGUAACUCAGACCCUGUUGCUCAAACUCUCCAAAUGCAUGCUGUCUUGCUGAAAAUAAAAUCCAAAGUUUUGGGCCCGAUCUGGGCCCCCUCCUCUCUGAUCUCAUCUCCUCCAGUCCCCUCCUCCAGCAGAUGGGUCAGUGCCCUCCCCACAUGCCCUGACUUGCCCCAUAAGUCACCCACCGGACAAACUGCCCUGUCCUCCAGUGGCCUAUCUGCAUCUGCCCGGAGGUAUAUUAUGGGCUCCGGGAAAGCUUCCAGAAGCCAUCAUCAGCGAUGAAGCAGGAGUUGGAUAAAGACCCAGCUUCCUGACUGGUCAGUGGGGCAGUUCUGAGGCACGUUCCAUGUAUUCCCUCAGAGGUCCCCAGCAGGACUGAACCUCAGUGGCCCACAGUGGUGACCCACUCAUGAACGUCCCAAUUGUUAGCUUUCCUCCCUCCCUUCUCUUCCCCAUCCUCUCCAGGGGCUUCCUAAGAUCACCCACAGACACCCCUCGUUCCUAAAUACUCGGAGCUCCCAUUGUAGCUCAGUGGGUUAAGAACCCAGCUAAUAUCCAUGAGGAUUCGGGUUUGAUCCCCAGUCUGGCUCAGUGGGUUAAGGAUCCGGCAUUGCUGUGAGCUGCAGUAUAGGUCACAGAUGUGCCUCAGAUCCCAUUUUGCUGUGGCUGUGGCACAGGCUGGCAGCUGCAGCUCUGAUUCGACCCCUAGCCUGGGAACCUCUAUAUGCCAUAGGUGCGGCCCUAAAAAAACAAAAAAAAACACCAAAUCCUCAUCUCAGGAGACGAAGAUAGCCUCUUGUUCCACUCCAGCCACACCAGCUUCCUGUUUCUAGAACGCAUCAAACUCCUCACCACCCAGAGCCUUCGUGUCUUCUGUUCCCUCUGCCUGGAAUACUCUUCCUCUCAAGUCCUUUCAAUCUCUGCUCAAAUAUCAUCUUCUCAGACUUUACAUACAAAGUAGGAACUCUGAGCUCCAUGACUCGCUCUCUAGCCCCUUUCUCUGCUUUCUCUCUUUCUCAUCAAUGGCUAACAGACUCACUGAACGUUCAUUUGUUUAACUAUUGACUCUCUCCCCCCCAGCAAAGGAUAAGCUUCAUGAGACAAGGGGCUUAGUUUGCUUUGUUCUGUUCUGUUCUUUGCUUUUUCCCAGCCAGUGUCAAGAAUGGUUCCUGGCACACAGUGGGUGUUUAGUAAAUGUUGACUAAAUAAAUGGACAUAGAGACAGAUAAGAGGGAGAAAAGAAAGGAAAGAAUACUUUUAACCGUAGUCGCCAACAGACAACUUGGCUUGAGUGAUCUUUGUUGGCAGUUGCUCAGAGUCUACCAGAUGGGU